UAUAUAUAUAUAUAUAUACAUGUAUGCAUCUAUACAGAUAUACACAUACAUAUGUAUGUAAUGUUUAGCAUAUACAAUGCAUAUAUAAGUGUUGGUGCAUAUGUAUUUUAUGUGUAUAUGUAUUGUACAUGACUUUAUUAAUGCGUCAAACACUCACCAAAUGCUAACCAAUUUCACUUUAAACCUUAAAAAAACCCUAUUAUAAUUAUUGAAGUAUUUUUCUACAAUUUAUUUUUCUGUGUUUUAUUUUAUUUCUAUUCUCUUUCAUUUUUACAAUUUUUUGUGUUUUGUUCAUUUAAAAAAAAUUUUUACAAGUUAAAUAAAAUUCUUUUUUUUUUUUUAAAAAAAACUAUCUUCCUUAUAUUGUCUGCAGUAAAAGACUUGCAGCUUAGGAACAGUUUCUUUUUUUUAAUGGCAAUUUUUAAAUAACUGUGAUAUCUGCUGCAUUCUACAAAAUUAUUAAAAAAAAUAAUAAAAGCAAACCAAAAACAGUGAUAAUAUUCUGUGAAAACAAGCAUAUUUUGUAUAAAGUUUCAUGUGCAUUUUCUCUCAUUUUUAAGAGUUGUCAAAUAUUUUGACUUAAAAAUUAUAAAUUUUUAGUUCAGGUUUGUAUUAGGUAAAUAAAUAAAUAAAUAAAUAUACAACUUUAAUGGGGAAAGACAAUUAAGUAAUUAACCACUAAAAACUUAAAAGAAAUGUUUUUAAACAUUUAUUUUUUGAAUCCACAGUAUGUAUAUGGCACUAAUUAAUUUUAACAGUGGAUAAAUGCAGCUAUAGAUAAUAGUGUCUAGAAUAUUAAGUUUAAAAACCCUUUAGAAAGAAAAAGUCAAAGGGUGCCCAUGAAACAAGAACCUCUAUCUUCUGUUAAUAUGACAGAUGUUCUAACUACUAUACCAAAGCAAUCCUUUAAAAUUUGUCCUUCUGUUUUAGAAGUUUUGUUCUUACCAGCAAGAAUUGUAUGUUGGUUAUACCAUAAGAAUUAAAACACACCAAGAUCUCUAAAAUAGAUUGUUUUAAAUAAUGGAACUUGAAGUAGAUAAAUCUAUAAAAAAUAGUGUAGAAGAUCAAGUUAAAAAAACCCUUGGAUGGAAAAAGAAAAUGAAGGCUGGAUGCAAACUUCAUAAUAUGUAUGUUUUAAGCUUAGAAGCUAUUGGAGAUUUUCAAUGAAUUGUAAAUGUUACAGUUUAUUUGAGUUUAUUAAAUUAACACAUUAAAAGAUAUAUAUAAACCUUGUAUUGUUUAAUAAUGAAUAAAUACAUACUAAGGAGAAAACUAAGUUUGAUACUAUAUUGUACAACUGGGCUGCAUAUAUCAUAUUAUUAUGUCUAACUAAUCAGCUGAAUAUACAGGUUGCAGCAAAAAAUAAGAAAAAAAAUGCAACUUAUCACAUUUUAUUGGUUGACAAAUGUUUAACAGCAAGCACACAGUGUUCAUUGGUUCAGACUAUGAUGGCAACAUUAGUUAUAUGAAGAUACCCAACUUUAAUAGUGCCACACCAACAGCCAUGUAAAAUAUGAAAGUUUUUUGCUCCUGCACUAUGUAUGUAUGUAUGUGUGUGUGUAUGUACUACACAUAUUUGCAUACACAUAUAUAUUUUAAACAGGCUUCUGCAUAGUUUCUAUCAUUCAAACUAAAGUCCUACUUGACACAAAUUAUAUCAUUAAAUAAAUAUUAAAUUUAAUAUCAAAACUGGUUAUGUUUACAAUCAAAUUAAAUUUAUUACAUUAGUAAAUUAAAAUUAUUCUGCUAAAUAAUAAUUUUAGACAUACAUAAUCGAAAUAAAAUUAUUAGAAAAUUUACAUUAUUUAACAAAGUAAUUAUCAUUAUAAAAUUAUAAAUAUGGUUGCAGUGAAACUAUCACAGACCUAAAGAAACAAUGGUAACAAUAAUACACAUCUAUUAUGUAUAAAUCAAACAAUCUUUGAAAUACAUAUUCAUUACAGUUUUAUUUUAAUAGUUUCUUUUUUAAAUACUAUUUAAUACCAUUUACUUGUCUGCUCUAUUUCAAUGAAUCGUAUUUCUCAUAUCCGAAUUUUUCUUUAUCAAAUUAACAUCCUUUUACCUUUAUAAAUGUCAAUUUAAAAUUUCAUUUUAGAGAUUUAGUAAAGCCAAUGACACCAAUGACUGGCAAGCUGCCAUCUUUAAUGGCUUUAUCGGCUGAGAUUGAUCAUUGAGGGUUUUCAGGUAAGGUCUAUGGAACUCUGAGUAAGGCCUAUGGAACUCUGGGAAUUUCAAGGGCUGGCAGAAGAGUCAUCAAGAACAAUGUAGAGGCUGCUGAAAAAGCAUCCAGAUGAGUUUGGCUGGAAAGAGGUGAUUGGUGGGGUCAGUAGAAUGCUUCUCAGAUGCAACCCUAAGCUUGAUCAAGUUAUAUCAAGUUGCCUGGAUGAGUGUAAUGGCUUGGAAAUGAAGAAUUCAGCAAAUAUCUUUUCAAUAUAACUAAUUACACCUAAUAAUAACAUAAACAUCCACAUCUCAGUAUAUUGUUCUUUAUAGUUCAACAUACAUCUACAGAUGCAAUUCUUGGAUCCUUCAUCAGUGUUGUAUCCUGGAAUCACUGGCUGUUUUGGGUAAAAAAAAUACAUCUUCAUCCAGUCAAUCUGGCCUAUAUUGAUCAAGACUAGGCUUGUGUCCAAGCAGCAAUCCUUGACCUCACUGACCAUCUUUUUAAACCAGAACCCCAGAGCCAUCCCGAGCUUUUCUCAGCUAUCUCUAUGUUGCUCUUGAUGGCUCUUCUUUGCUCAUUCCUGUAAAGUUCAAGAUUUCAAUGGUUUUGCCCAAAGCACAACAAAUGAUCCAUUGACUGCUAACCUUCACUGGCAAAUCCAUUACGGUUGGUAGAAUUAUUAGUGUCAAACACAAAUACCUUACAAUAUUUAGUUAGGACUCUUGAUGUUCUGAGUUCUGCUGGGGUCAUUUUACUUUUCGUCAU